rnacentral:rRNA from 1 species
GACGAACGCUGGCGGCGUGCUUAACACAUGCAAGUCGAGCGGUAAGGCCCUUUCGGGGGUACACGAGCGGCGAACGGGUGAGUAACACGUGGGUGACCUGCCCUCAGCUCUGGGAUAAGCCUGGGAAACCGGGUCUAAUACUGGAUAUGACUCCAUGACGCAUGUUGUGGGGUGGAAAGCCUUGUGCGGCUGAGGAUGGGCCCGCGGCCUAUCAGCUUGUUGGUGGAGUGAUGGCCUACCAAGGCGACGACGGGUAGCCGGCCUGAGAGGGCGACCGGCCACACUGGGACUGAGACACGGCCCAGACUCCUACAGGAGGCAGCAGUGGGGAAUCUUGCGCAAUGGGCGAAAGCCUGACGCAGCGACGCCGCGUGA